GUUUGUAUGCACUCUCAUGUUGAAAGGCACAUGCUUGUAGGGUACAUAUAAUACAUAUUGACUUGUGCAUAUUACAUACAGGAAUGUGAUACAGUACAGAAUACUACAUCAGUGAUGUUACAUAUACGUACUUUACAGCAUUCCACGCACAUACAUUUUAACACAAACCAGCCUUCAAGUUUAAAUGUAAUGUAUGUAAUAUAUAUAUUUUUUACCUAUUUUACUAUAAAUCAUUAGAAUUUUCUAAGUGCUAGAUCUAGUCAUCUCCCUACAUGAAAAAACUCUAAAUCAGUAUUAGCUCCUCUACUCUUCUUGUUCUAUAUUAUCUCGUAGCCCUUUUCACCCCCACUCAUCAAAAAUGUAAAUACAUAUAAUGGCAGCUCUCUGUAUACAAUUCUUGUUAAUAAGAAAUUGCAUAUAAACAUAACCAAGGUGAACCUCAUGACCAUGAACUGUAACCUUUUAUCAACAUUGAUGUAAUGCGUUCAGUCAGUGGUGGUGUGAGCAAAUCAGCUUCCAGUAUACCAUCCCAACAAAAGUGUGAGCAAAUCUGCAGGGUUUUCGGCAUCAUGUGUGCUCGAUCUGAAGCCUGUGCAUUAGUCUACAUCACAAGCUGAUACUGUUGCACAUAACAGAGGAGUACUGGACACUGGUUCUCCUACAUCUAAUCAUCAUUAUGCAUCAGACACACCUUGAUCAUCAAGCCUUGGAAAUAUUUUGAGACCCAAGUAGAUGAAUUACUUGUAACACUGAUAAUGAUGAAUAUUUGAGUUAUGAGACAUACCCUCUGUGAUGCACUACACCACCCAAGGCUCGACUAUAUCGCAUUGACGAAUCUUCCGAGAAGAUUUUAGUUUACUGUUCCUUUGUUCAUGGUGGGAAGACAAAGAACUCUUCUGAUUGGUGUACCUGACCUUAAACAACAAACCUGAAUGCUCCCACCAUCCAUUUUGUGUGUGUGUGUCUAGUCUAGCUUGGUAUUAGUCACAGAACCGGAUGUUGAACUGUAUAUUACCCGGAAAGAGUAAACAAUUUAAUGAUAGUGAUCAUAUUCUAGAUGAUCCAAAUCUCUCCCACAAUCCUGCACAUAAUGUAGCAUGUGACAGCUGAUCUUCAGUUCUUGCUUCAGGUAGUGUGUGGGGGUUUUGGAGUGCACAUAUCCGACUCGGUCCCGAUACUCUCUUGUACAGACUUCACUCAUGCCGGCAACUCCAGCAGUGUCUUGUUAUUAUAACAAAAAGUGAUGCGUUUCACUGCCAGUAAGAACUUCUUGCCAAUAGGAGGAAGAUAGUGCUACACUCACUGCAUUAAAACACCAUAUGAGACUGGGUUAGGUUGUUAUAUAUAUAUAUAGAUGUAAUCAGAUUCCAAUAUUUAACACACCAUUUAUUUGCUAAUCAGACCUGUAUUUAUUCCCUGACGAGAGUACAAAAAACUCGUAAACUUGUGUUUGACGAGCUAUAUGAUCAUUUGAUUAGGAAAUUUUGUGCGAUAGUUCCCCAAGUUUCUCUUCCAUGAAUAUUUUGGCUGAUAAUAUUUGUUCAUCAUUCUAAUUAUGAAAAAUAACAAAUUAAUUAAAUAUUAGGCAGUAGUUGAGCUCUAUGAACCAAGUACCUGACAUACUUGGCACCACAGCAGCAGUACAGGUGACCAGUUAGGUCUGGCAAAGAAGUGUCAGGCUUACCACAGGCAUAAAGAUGAUCAUCACCAUCAUUUUGGGGGGCUAGAGUUAUUCUUGCCAUGUGUCACUGGAGAGAGCAUCUUCUCUGGGCUUGACCAGUCACCAAAACUAUUAUGUAUAGUGACAAGUAUUAGGUAAGGUGAGGGAGGAGUCUAUGGCAGGUUGUCAGGUGGGGUUGGAGAGGGCAGGCUCUCGCCUGCCUUUCACCACAGAUAACUCGAGAGUGAACAGAAUUGAUUCACUGUGUAAAGUGACCUUCUUAAUAAAAGUAAGAUUAUGUCGGCUUUUCGUA
rnacentral:lncRNA from 1 species